ensembl:snoRNA
GUGUCUCCUACCAGAACAAACUGUACUCCCAAACCAUUGCCUGGCCUCUGUGCUUGUAGGCUGUUGGCACUAAAGCAGGUUGCAUGGUG